UCGGAAUGGAUCUAGUGCCAAGACGAGGAACAUGGACAUGGCAAGUGUAUGGAUAUGCCAAACGAUGGUUGGUAGACGCGAAGGAGGCCAUCAUGAGCUGCCUUUUGCAGUGGAGGAUGACCUUAUGGCCGCGACAGGCAAGCAUCAGUAGAGGCUCCCUGCAAGUGACGUUUGGAAAGAGUCAAAGUUGGCCUCUAUGUCGAUAAACCGAUGGAGCGAAACUUCAGGUACUUAAUUACAAGUUCCCCCCUUUAGCUGUGGCUAGUUUUCCAUCAGAGGUCUGGGAAACCAGGCACAGCAGCGCUCAGGCGUGCCGAGCCCAGGCGAGCGGGUGAGGAUGUCAAGAUCCCCACUCGGCGCCACAGUAAUGGCUAUUGGCCGUCCAUGGGGUCCACGCCGGCUUUUACGGGCGGCCCCCGCAUUUGCGCGGAACUUGUAACUUGGUAAUUAAUGCUGGGCGUGUGUGCUUUCGUGUGUCUGCGUGUUAUACUGUAGGCCAAUGCAAAUGCAAAUGCCCAUGGAAACUGCUUACCUAAGGCUACGGGCUGGCAUGGUUAACCUUUGGAAAUCGGCCAGGCACUGCCCUGCUCGGGAGGGUCCGGAUUGUGUCUUGGGUGGCGAAACUGCCUAUUUUCUGCGUUGUACAUUUAAAUUUGCACAUAUCUGCGUCACUGGUACCGCCGCAGUUGCGUUGCAAGUUACCACAAUUUGCAACGAAGCCCGGUAUGACGCGGCCAGAGCGCCAAGCAAGCAACCCAAUACGACACAGCAUGGCAACAGUCUACAUGGUACGCGUGGAGGACGGAUUGGAUUCCAGUCCGGUUUGAGCGAUUGUUGCUUUCGUAAAACUGUGAUGCCUCAUAGCCCAGUAAUGUUGUGACUCGUUGUGUUACAUGUGCACGCCGAGCGGCAGACGGCGGCAGCUUUGCAAAAGCCGGGAUGUUACUGUAAUCGAUGAAACAUAAAAUGGGUCAUCUGCAGGAGUAAUCAUUAUAUUAACAAAUAAUGUGGAAACUUAAGGAUGUUUUUCUGCCAGCAUAAUUGGUCAGAAUCCAGGGCUGUCCAAUAUGACGCAGCGACCCGCUAGCACCAGGACGACUCUUGUCCUCGUAGUCUGCACUCAUACAUUUUUGGUUAAAAUUAUUGCGAUAAUACCAUUGAGAAGGACGUUCCGUCGUAGGAACCUUGUGAUACUUUGACACUCUCGUAUUGUCACGUCUGUGUCUUGCGAACAUCUCCUUAAGCCCUAGGAAUAUGUCCAACACAAGAAAAAGCGCAGCUAGGGUGCCGAGGUCAGCUGAGGAAGGCCGGCCGUCCACAUGCGCAAUGACAGCCGCUAAUAACCGCUCUCAAAGCAAAGUGGCUUUCAACGAUGAAAGGGAAGAGUACGAAUACAGGGACAGCUUCUCGGACAGCGCUAGCAGUGACUCGGAGCAGACGGCUUGCAGCACCAGCGAUGAAAUCAGCAGCAGCCCUGACCGCGGUCACCGCGGCUCAGGCAGGCGCAGUAGAGGCGGGCGCGAUUACCGAAACCGGUCACACUCCUCUGGCCGAUACCAUAGCAGGGAUCGCCGAUCACGGCAACAUGGACAGCAGUUUCUACAAGGUGUGCG
rnacentral:lncRNA from 1 species